rnacentral:rRNA from 1 species
AUGAAACUCAUCGGCUGGAACUGCCGGGGUUUGGAAAAUGGCUCGGUAGUUCGUAGCCUCCUCGAGCUGGGGAGGGUGGAGGAGCCUGCUGUUCUUUUUCUGGCUGAAACGAAGAUGAUAGUGGAGGAGUUGGAGAGAUUUAGAUGGAUGAUAGGAAUGGUGCACAUGACAGCUUGGAGUUCGGAGGGGAGGAGUAGGGGGGUAGCAUUGUUUUGGCGGCGAGAAGUGGAUGUGUCUCUGAGAUCGUACAGCAGGAGACACGUAGAUGUGGAUGUGAAGGAGGGGGAUGGCAGGGUGUGGAGGCUGAUGGGGGUAUACGACGAGUCUGCCGCUGAACGAAAGGUUGAAACAUGGAGAAUGCCGAGGCUUCUCGGCCAACAACACUAG